ACUUCAAUAGCGAUCGUAUAUCCUUUCCUAGACUCGAAAGUGAAGGAACACAUUCACUUCCAUAAUCGAGACUGGCAUUCGCUUCAUAAACACAUCAACCCUGAAAUCUUGCCUGAAGAAUAUGGGGGCCAUAUUCCUAGACUGGAUUACACUGAACUACGGAAGAUUCUUUACGAAAAUUCAGAAAAACUUGUGGAACAAUUUUCUAUGGGAUACGUAAACACAUGAAGAAGGGAACGAGGCUAAUGCAAUGCGUUCCUGUUUCCACGUCUCUUUACUCCAAAGAUUUAUACGCAAACAGAAGUCACAAAUUUAAUGUAUAUACACACAAACAUAUAAACUGCAUAUAAAACAGAAUUUAUCCUCAAAAAA